rnacentral:rRNA from 1 species
GAUGAACGCUGGCGGCGUGCCUAACACAUGCAAGUCGAGCGAACCGUUCAGGAGUUUGCUCCCCCGACUUUAGCGCCCGACGGGUGCUUCACUUGUGGUUAACCUAACUACACGACCGGGAUACUAAUGCCAAAUAGUGUCUUCGACCCGAUAAUAUAUCGCCUCUCAUUGUUCCAUAGUUAGAUUCGCUUUUUGGUACACUUAUAGACUAACCCGCGCCGCAUCCGCUAGUUGGUGAGGUAACGGCUUAGCAAGGCAACGAUGCGUAGCUGACCCGGGAGGGUGAUCGGCCACACUGGAACUGAGGCACGGUCCAGACUCCUGCGGGAGGCAGCAGUAGGGAAUCUUCCGCAAUGGGCGAAGGCGUGACGGGGCAACGCCGGGUGAGUGAUGAAGGUAUUCGGAUCGUGAAACUCUGUAAUUAGUGAAGAACAAAAGUGUAAGUAACUAUGCACGUCUUGACGGUACCUGAUAAGAAAGCCACGGCUAACUACGUG